GCUAUGUUAGCGCGCUUGAGAAAGAGAAGUGUUUAAAGGUGAUUCAACCAGUACUACCACUAGUUACGGUGUUAAACAUCUCUGUCAACACGAAGAGUGUGUUCAGUCCUCAUAAUCAAGAGUUGGCACGAUUAUGGCUCGGACUCAAUGCAGAGCCCGCCCAGGAGAUCUGGUCUGCCUAUCGAAGCAACUGCUCAGACUCACUUAACUGGACACUUUUGGAAUGUGAAGCCCGGGGGAUUCACCAGCAGCAUCACUUUGUUCUCCUUUUCAGGCAAAGACUGGAGCUUCCUCCCUAUGUCCGUGUGAAGACAGGGACAAGUCUACAAGCCAGAAAAGGGCCCUCACAAGAAAUGAACCUGUCAGCAUUUUUGACCUUGGACUUCUCGGCCUCCAGAACUCUGAGAUACAAAUGUCUGUGUGUAAGUCAUCCAGUCUGUGGUAUUUUGUUAUUUACAGAGGCCUGAGUGAAGACACUCUCAUAUGGAGGUGAAGGAGUAUCAAAAAACACCUUGGGCAUGGGAAUGUGUCGCCUUCCAGACAGGCAGUCUCCUUGGUUUAUUGGACAUCCAGGCAUUUU
ensembl:lncRNA